GUAAUUUAGUUUUUCCGAAUUAUGUUUAAAAAAACUAAAAAAGGUAAAAGUGCAAUAAGUAGUCCAUAAGAAAUAGAUUCAACACAGAUCCAAGAUUGCUGCUUUUGGAAAAGAUGGCACAACUAGCCAUUGUUCCCGCAGUCCAUGUUGUCUGCCUGACACUAAGUAGUCCAUAAGAAACUGCUCUUACACACCGUACCUACUAGCCAUAGUUGCCGCAGCCCCUGUUUCCUCACACUAAGUAUUCCAUAAGAAACUGCCGUUACACACCGUGCCUAUGCCUAAAUUUCUGCCUUUGGAAAGAUGUGCUGCUGCUAUCCUUGCUGUACUUGCUGCAGUCCCUGCUGUUCGCCAUGCCGCUAUGAACCCUGCUGUUACCCCUGCUGUGGACCAUGCUGCACUCCUGUUGCUGUUAUCCCUGCGGUAUUGGCCAUAGCGGUUGCAAUGGAUGCUGAAAUUGGAGCAUAGGCACAUACACAUCACUUUAAGCCCAACAAAAGUCUUGCUACCAAUUCCACGAUCAUUUACAUAACCGGAUUGACAAAGGAGAUCAACUAAUGGAGAUGGAGCAGUGCCUUAACCUUUGUCAUAAUUUGUAAGAAAGGAUUCAACAUACAUAUAUCGACUUAUACGUGGAGUUAUUAAGCCUAUGCAAUAAAAGAAUAAAUUUUAAUUAUACUGUAAA